CCGCCCUGCACUCUGGGACAAGCCCUGGAAACGGGGUCUAAUACCGGAUACGACCACUGAGCGCAUGCUUGGUGGUGGAAAGCUCCGGCGGUGCAGGAUGAGCCCGCGGCCUAUCAGCUUGUUGGUGGGGUGAUGGCCUACCAAGGCGACGACGGGUAGCCGGCCUGAGAGGGCGACCGGCCACACUGGGACUGAGACACGGCCCAGACUCCUACGGGAGGCAGCAGUGGGGAAUAUUGCACAAUGGGCGAAAGCCUGAUGCAGCGACGCCGCGUGAGGGAUGACGGCCUUCGGGUUGUAAACCUCUUUCAGCAGGGAAGAAGCGAAAGUGACGGUACCUGCAGAAGAAGCGCCGGCUAACUACGUGCCAGCAGCCGCGGUAAUACGUAGGGCGCAAGCGUUGUCCGGAAUUAUUGGGCGUAAAGAGCUCGUAGGCGGCUUGUCGCGUCGGAUGUGAAAGCCCGGGGCUUAACCCCGGGUCUGCAUUCGAUACGGGCAGGCUAGAGUUCGGUAGGGGAGAUCGGAAUUCCUGGUGUAGCGGUGAAAUGCGCAGAUAUCAGGAGGAACACCGGUGGCGAAGGCGGAUCUCUGGGCCGAUACUGACGCUGAGGAGCGAAAGCGUGGGGAGCGAACAGGAUUAGAUACCCUGGUAGUCCACGCCGUAAACGUUGGGAACUAGGUGUGGGCGACAUUCCACGUCGUCCGUGCCGCAGCUAACGCAUUAAGUUCCCCGCCUGGGGAGUACGGCCGCAAGGCUAAAACUCAAAGGAAUUGACGGGGGC
rnacentral:rRNA from 1 species